rnacentral:rRNA from 1 species
UUCUUAACACCGAGACGUGAUGACGAGUGUCUACGGACAUGAAGUGACCAAUACCACGCUUCCAGGAAAAGCCACUAAGCUUCAGUUGAAUCAGAACCGUACCGCAAACCGACACAGGUGGGCAGGAUGAGAAUUCUAAGGCGCUUGAGAGAACUCGGGAGAAGGAACUCGGCAAAUUGAUACCGUAACUUCGGGAGAAGGUAUGCCCUCUAAUGUUAAGGACUUGCUCCGUAAGCAUCUGAGGGUCGCAGAGAAUCGGUGGCUGCGACUGUUUAUUAAAAACACAGCACUCUGCUAACACGAAAGUGGACGUAUAGGGUGUGACGCCUGCCCGGUGCUGGAAGGUUAAUUGAAGAUGUGCAAGCAUCGGAUCGAAGCCCCAGUAAACGGCGGCCGUAACUAUAACGGUCCUAAGGUAGCGAAAUUCCUUGUCGGGUAAGUUCCGACCCGCACGAAUGGCGUAACGAUGGCCACACUGUCUCCUCCCGAGACUCAGCGAAGUUGAAAUGGUUGUGAAGAUGCAAUCUCCCCGCUGCUAGACGGAAAGACCCCGUGAACCUUUACUGUAGCUUUGCAUUGGACUUUGAAGUCACUUGUGUAGGAUAGGUGGGAGGCUUUGAAGCAGAGACGCCAGUCUCUGUGGAGCCGUCCUUGAAAUACCACCCUGGUGACUUUGAGGUUCUAACCCAGACCCGUUAUCCGGGUCGGGGACCGUGCAUGGUAGGCAGUUUGACUGGGGCGGUCUCCUCCCAAAGAGUAACGGAGGAGUUCGAAGGUUACCUAGGUCCGGUCGGAAAUCGGACUGAUAGUGCAAUGGCAAAAGGUAGCUUAACUGCGAGACCGACAAGUCGAGCAGGUGCGAAAGCAGGACAUAGUGAUCCGGUGGUUCUGAAUGGAAGGGCCAUCGCUCAACGGAUAAAAGGUACUCCGGGGAUAACAGGCUGAUUCCGCCCAAGAGUCCAUAUCGACGGCGGAGUUUGGCACCUCGAUGUCGGCUCAUCACAUCCUGGGGCUGUAGUCGGUCCCAAGGGUAUGGCUGUUCGCCAUUUAAAGUGGUACGUGAGCUGGGUUUAAAACGUCGUGAGACAGUUUGGUCCCUAUCUGCAG